rnacentral:lncRNA from 1 species
CCAAUUCUGCUAUGACUUGCCCGUCUUCAAGAUCCUCCAGAUGAUCAGCCUUCUGAGAAGGUGAUUGGACUGUUUCCUACCUUUCGAAAAUUUCCAGUCAUUGGCACGAGAUGAGAUUCAGAACGCAGUCAUUCGCUUAAUCCCUAACUUUUGCCUAGAUCGCCCUUUUCGGGUUUUCGAUCCACCGGGAUACCCAUUUUUGCCUAAGUUGCCUUUUCAGGUUUUCAACUUACCGGGUGUACAAUCUUUUUUUUAUUUUUGUCCCUAAUUUUUGCUCGAACCUUUUCAUUUUCUUGGUUCGCCGGGACGCCCAUUUUUGCCUGGACUACUCUUUU